rnacentral:tRNA from 1 species
AUUUUCUUAGUAUAAUGUACAGGUAACUUCCAAUUACCAAGACUCGGCUAAAUUCCGGGAGAAAGUA